GGGCACCUGGGUGGCUCAGUCGGUUAAGCGUCCGACUUCAGCUCAGGUCACGAUCUCCUGGUGUGAGUUCGAGCCCCACAUCCGGCUCUGUGCUGACAGCUCGGAGCCUGAAGCCUGCUUCAGAUUCGGUGUCUCCCUCUCGCUCUCUGCCCCUCCCCCACUCCUGCUCUGUCUCUCAAAAAUAAA